GGAAAGGAUAUUCCAGUGAGCACCACUGAGCGAUCCUCUUCUGGCGUCUUUAACCACUUGGGGGUGCCUAACAUUUAAGAAGAUGAAAACAUCUUUAAGAAGAUGGAAACUAGCCGUUAUAGUAAAAGGUGCCAGCCCAGCAUUCAACUCUGCACACCAUCUAUCAGCUUUGUUAGCAGACACGUGUAGAGUGUCAGAUCCACAGCCCCUGAAGUCUAUCCACACCUAGUGGAAAUGAUGUAAGAAUGUUAUCAUUGGAAUGAAGCAUUGAAAGAGCUCUCCAGCCUCCUGGCAGCCUGGCCAGCUGUCAUGGUACCGGAUAGUUCUGGUAGCGGAUGAAGUUCUGCAGCAGUUACUGCAUUAAUCACUAGCUCUAGCAGUGAACUGGAAACCAGUGACACCAUCUCAAGAAUAUGAUACAUAACCAGCAGACCUGCACUCACCAGACCAUCCACCCUGCUAUGACUCUCGGGAAACUGAUGGCAUCUUAACAGUGGAACAUCUAAGGUGCUUGAGCCUUCAGCCAUGUGAUCUAAUGAAUUUCAAGGUCAAAAUAUCCUGCAUAUAAGCAAACACCAUUGUUUCUGGCAUCACAUAUCGCUAAGGUAUACAUCAGUGUGCUAUAAUGUUAUGGAAUGGAACCGUUCAGAACAGAAACAAAGCAGGUUGGUCACGCACCCUGGCGCUUCGAUACCCUCUUUUUUUUUAACAUGGAGCCAUAAUGUUCCCAAAGAUUGUGCAACUACAAUGUAGAAAAUAAAUUGACUUUCACUGAGCACCGGUUCCCUAUUGUUCUGUGGAUGUAGCAAUUUGCUUGUGAGUGGGAUACAAACACUUUGCUUUUUGUUUUGUGCUUUUUUUUCUAGUAGAGGAAAAUAAAGAUUUUUCACUUUACAAGAGCCGUGGGGCACCUGGGAAAUGUGCCAUCAGUGGACAACGUACGGCUCCCUUUUUGUUGUAUUAUUGAUAUGUAGCUUAUAGCAAGGAGAAGAGGUAAAGCUGUUGCAGAUCUAUAAUGUGCAGCUUUGUUGGACAUCGGCUGCUGGGAGUUGUAGUUCUGCAACAGCUUGAUUACCAAAGUUUGUCUCUAUGCUGUAGUAAUGUAGAUCCCCUUGCAGCAAUAAUAAAUACACUUGCUGCACUUGACCGAAGUACCUCUCUUGUCUUGAUCUCGUACAGGGAAUAAUAUACUAUAAAUGACCCAAGGAUUGAUUCUCUCCCCUUUCUCACCCCAUAUAUUACCUAUUUUUUUUCACAAAGAAAACACAAAAAAAUUCCCAUUUUCUCACCUAAUGUAGAGCCAAGGAAGGAGCCUUCAAAUGUGUAAUAUUUUAUUCAAUCUAAAUAAACAGAUGCUACGUUUCCUCAA